rnacentral:rRNA from 1 species
CCUANGGGGGGCAGCAGUGGGGAAUAUUGGACAAUGGGGGCAACCCUGAUCCAGCAAUGCCGCGUGUGUGAAGAAGGCCUGCGGGUUGUAAAGCACUUUUGGCAGGGAUGAAAAGCACUGGGGUAAUACUCCAGUGUGUUGACCUAACCUCCAGAAGAAGCACCGGCUAACUCUGUGCCAGCAGCCGCGGUAAUACAGGGGGAGCAAGCGUUGUUCGGAAUCACUGGGCGUAAAGGGCGUGUAGGCGGUCAAGUAAGUGGGAUGUGAAAUCCCUCGGCUCACCCGAGGACCUGCAUCCCAAACUGCUUGGCUUGAGUAUGGGAGAGGAUGAGGGAAUUCCUGGUGUAGCGGUGAAAUGCGUAGAUAUCAGGAGGAACACCGGUGGCGAAAGCGCUCAUCUGGCCCAAUACUGACGCUGAGGCGCGAAAGCUAGGGGAGCAAACGGGAUUAGAUACCCUANUANUC